GAUGAACGCUAGCUACAGGCUUAACACAUGCAAGUCGAGGGGUAACGAGAGGAAAGCUUGCUUUCCUUGUCGACGACCGGCGCACGGGUGAGUAACGCGUAUCCAACCUGCCCCCAACUAGGGAAUAACCUUGCGAAAGUAAGACUAAUACCCUAUAAAUUCCUCAGAUGUCAUCUGACGAGGAAUAAAGAUUUAUCGGUUGUGGAUGGGGAUGCGUCUGAUUAGCUUGUUGGCGGGGUAACGGCCCGACAAGGCAACGAUCAGUAGGGGUUCUGAGAGGAAGGUCCCCCACAUCGGAACUGAGACACGGUCCAAACUCCUACGGGAGGCAGCAGUGAGGAAUAUUGGUCAAUGGGCGGAAGCCUGAACCAGCCAAGUAGCGUGCAGGAUGACGGCCCUAUGGGUUGUAAACUGCUUUUAUACAGGAAUAAAGUUAGCCACGUGUGGUUAUUUGUAGGUACUGUAUGAAUAAGGACCGGCUAAUUCCGUGCCAGCAGCCGCGGUAA
rnacentral:rRNA from 1 species